rnacentral:rRNA from 1 species
UAAGACGGAGGGGGCUAGCGUUGUUCGGAAUGACUGGGCGUAAAGGGCGCGUAGGCGGCUUUUUAAGUGAGGCGUGAAAGCCCUGGGCUUAACCCAGGAGGUGCGUUUCAUACUGAAGAGCUUGAGUACGAGAGAGGAAAGUGGAAUUCCUAGUGUAGAGGUGAAAUUCGUAGAUAUUAGGAAGAACACCAGUGGCGAAGGCGGCUUUCUGGCUCGUAACUGACGCUGAGGCGCGAAAGCGUGGGGAGCAAACAGGAUUAGAUACCCUGGUAGUCCACGCUGUAAACGAUGAGUGCUAGAUGUUGGAGGGUAACUUUCAGUGUCGCAGCUAACGCAUUAAGCACUCCGCCUGGGGAGUACGGUCGCAAGAUUA